UUCUUGGUCAAUUAGAGGAAGUAAAAGUCGUAACAAGGUCUCCGUAGGUGAACCUGCGGAGGGAUCAUUACAAGUGACCCCGGCUACGGCCGGGAUGUUCAUAACCCUUUGUUGUCCGACUCUGUUGCCUCCGGGGCGACCCUGCCUUCGGGCGGGGGCUCCGGGUGGACACUUCAAACUCUUGCGUAACUUUGCAGUCUGAGUAAACUUAAUUAAUAAAUUAAAACUUUUAACAACGGAUCUCUUGGUUCUGGCAUCGAUGAAGAACGCAGCGAAAUGCGAUAAGUAAUGUGAAUUGCAGAAUUCAGUGAAUCAUCGAAUCUUUGAACGCACAUUGCGCCCCCUGGUAUUCCGGGGGGCAUGCCUGUUCGAGCGUCAUUUCACCACUCAAGCCUCGCUUGGUAUUGGGCAACGCGGUCCGCCGCGUGCCUCAAAUCGUCCGGCUGGGUCUUCUGUCCCCUAAGCGUUGUGGAAACUAUUCGCUAAAGGGUGUUCGGGAGGCUACGCCGUAAAACAACCCCAUUUCUAA
rnacentral:sRNA from 1 species